GGAAACCUACGGGACGCAGCAGUGAGGAAUAUUGGUCAAUGGCCGAGAGGCUGAACCAGCCACGUCGCGUGAGGGAAGACGGCCCUACGGGUUGUAAACCUCUUUUGUCGGGGAGCAAAGCGAGUCACGUGUGACACAUUGAGAGUACCCGAAGAAAAAGCAUCGGCUAACUCCGUGCCAGCAGCCGCGGUAAUACGGAGGAUGCGAGCGUUAUCCGGAUUUAUUGGGUUUAAAGGGAGCGUAGGUGGAUUGUUAAGUCAGUUGUGAAAGUUUGCGGCUCAACCGUAAAAUUGCAGUUGAAACUG
rnacentral:rRNA from 1 species